rnacentral:rRNA from 1 species
CGGCGGACGGGUGAGUAACGCGUGGGUAACCUGCCCUGUACACACGGAUAACAUACCGAAAGGUAUGCUAAUACGGGAUAACAUAAGAAAUUCGCAUGUUUUCUUAUCAAAGCUCCGGCGGUACAGGAUGGACCCGCGUCUGAUUAGCUAGUUGGUGAGGUAACGGCUCACCAAGGCGACGAUCAGUAGCCGACCUGAGAGGGUGAUCGGCCACAUUGGAACUGAGACACGGUCCAA